GGAGAGCCAAACAGAAUUCCAAAGCUGAGGAUCAGGACAGCAAAGCUGGUGUAACAAGGGCCAGACCCAGGCUGAAGACCUACCGAGGGUAGAACACAGCUUGGAGGAGCAAGACUUCCCAGUUCCUAAUCCGGUAUUGUGGGAGCUCCUGGCUGCCCUGCAGCUAAGCCCAGGAACACUGGAACAUUCCAGACCACCACCGUGAGCCUGAAUACAGCAUCUAACAAUGUUGCCCAAGCUGGUCUCAAACUCUUG